GAUGAACGCUGGCGGCGUGCCUAAUACAUGCAAGUCGAGCGAACAGACGAGGAGCUUGCUCCUCUGACGUUAGCGGCGGACGGGUGAGUAACACGUGGAUAACCUACCUAUAAGACUGGGAUAACUUCGGGAAACCGGAGCUAAUACCGGAUAAUAUAUUGAACCGCAUGGUUCAAUAGUGAAAGACGGUUUUGCUGUCACUUAUAGAUGGUUCCGCGCCGCAUUAGCUAGUUGGUAAGGUAACGGCUUACCAAGGCAACGAUGCGUAGCCGACCUGAGAGGGUGAUCGGCCACACUGGAACUGAGACACGGUCCAGACUCCUACGGGAGGCAGCAGUAGGGAAUCUUCCGCAAUGGGCGAAAGCUUGACGGAGCAACGCCGCGUGAGUGAUGAAGGUCUUCGGAUCGUAAAACUCUGUUAUUAGGGAAGAACAAAUGUGUAAGUAACUAUGCACGUCCUGACGGUACCUAAUCAGAAAGCCACGGCUAACUACGUG
rnacentral:rRNA from 1 species